AUGUUUUGGAACCUAGUUGUCUUGGAUUUAUCAGACAACCUUUUCAUGGGUGGACUUCCUCGAUGUUCUCAAAAGCUUAACCUGGUUUUCCUGAUUUUAAAUCACAAUAAGUUUUCUGGCAAGUUCCCAUCAUCACUGAAGAACUACUCGAGUUUGGCAUUCAUGGAUCUUUCAGUGAAUAGUUUCUAUGGAACAUUACCAUCAUGGAUUGGAGAUUUAGUAUAUUUGCGCUUUCUGCAGCUAAGUCACAACUUCUUGUGUGGAGAUAUUCCAGUGACUAUCACAAAUCUUAAACGUCUUCGUCAACUGAGUUUAGCAGGAAACAGUAUAUCUGGUGUUAUUCCUUUUUCUUUGUCAAAUUUAACAGCAAUGACCCAGAAACAUCCAAAGAAACCCGGGGUCGACAUGUUUGUAUGGUACACCAACCGUGUGGGUAAAUUUAGAGAAGUUUGGUCUAUAGUGAUGAAGCGUCAGGAACUUAAGUAUGGUGCUAGAAUUUUUGAUGUGGUCAGUAUGGACCUGUCACUCAACAAUCUAACUGGUGAAAUUCCAUAUGGGAUAACCUCUCUCAAUGGACUAUUGAAUCUAAACUUCUCAUGGAACCAAUUGAGUGGAAAAAUUCCAGAUAGGAUUGGAGCUAUGGAAUCACUUGAAUCGCUCGACCUCUCAAGGAACAACCUUUCUGGUGAAAUCCCAACAAGCUUGACAGAUUUGACUUAUUUAAGCUCCUUGGACCUGUCAUAUAACAAUCUCACAGGAAGAAUUCCACCGGGACGCCAACUUGACACCCUCUACUUGGAGAACCAGUCCAUAUACACGGGCAAUAUUGGUCUGUGUGGUCCUCCUCUUGAAAGGAAUUGCUCACGAAACAAUGCACCAGAGCAUGACAAUCAACAGAAAAUCGAGAAGAUUUCUGAGCCUGUGUUGUUCUUCUACUUUGGACUCGGGUCUGGGUUUGUGGCUGGCCUCUGGGUCGUGUUUUGUACCCUACUGUUCAAAAAAGCGUGGAGACUUGCCUAUUUCCGCCUCUUCGACAAGUUGUAUGACAAGGCAUAUGUGUUUCUGGUUGUUACCUGGGUGAGGAUAAACCACAAAGAGACAACAACUUGA
rnacentral:rRNA from 1 species